AUUGAACGCUGGCGGCAUGCCUUACACAUGCAAGUUGAACGGCAGCACGGGUGCUUGCCCCUGGUGGCGAGUGGCGAACGGGUGAGUAAUACAUCGGAACAUGUCCUGUAGUGGGGGAUAGCCCGGCGAAAGCCGGAUUAAUACCGCAUACGAUCUACGGAUGAAAGCGGGGGACCUUCGGGCCUCGCGCUAUAGGGUUGGCCGAUGGCUGAUUAGCUAGUUGGUGGGGUAAAGGCCUACCAAGGCGACGAUCAGUAGCUGGUCUGAGAGGACGACCAGCCACACUGGGACUGAGACACGGCCCAGACUCCUACGGGAGGCAGCAGUGGGGAAUUUUGGACAAUGGGCGAAAGCCUGAUCCAGCAAUGCCGCGUGUGUGAAGAAGGCCUUCGGGUUGUAAAGCACUUUUGUCCGGAAAGAAAUCCUUGGCCCUAAUACGGUCGGGGGAUGACGGUACCGGAAGAAUAAGCACCGGCUAACUACGUG
rnacentral:rRNA from 1 species